UUAAGCGACUAAGCGUACACGGUGGAUGCCCUGGCAGUCAGAGGCGAUGAAGGACGUGCUAAUCUGCGAAAAGCGUCGGUAAGGUGAUAUGAACCGUUACAGCCGGCGAUGUCCGAAUGGGGAAACCCAGUGUGAUUCGUCACACUAUCGUUAACUGAAUACAUAGGUUAACGAGGCGAACCGGGGGAACUGAAACAUCUAAGUACCCCGAGGAAAAGAAAUCAACCGAGAUUCCCCCAGUAGCGGCGAGCGAACGGGGAGCAGCCCAGAGUCUGAAUCAGCUUGUGUGUUAGUGGAACGGUCUGGAAAGUCCGACGGUACAGGGUGAUAGUCCCGUACACCAAAAUGCACAGGCUGUGAACUCGAAGAGUAGGGCGGGACACGUGGUAUCCUGUCUGAAUAUGGGGGGACCAUCCUCCAAGGCUAAAUACUCCUGACUGACCGAUAGUGAACCAGUACCGUGAGGGAAAGGCGAAAAGAACCCCGGCGAGGGGAGUGAAAAAGAACCUGAAACCGUGUACGUACAAGCAGUGGGAGCACCUUCGGGUGUGACUGCGUACCUUUUGUAUAAUGGGUCAGCGACUUAUAUUCUGUAGCAAGGUUAACCGUAUAGGGGAGCCGCAGGGAAACCGAGUCUUAACUGGGCGUUAAGUUGCAGGGUAUAGACCCGAAACCCGGUGAUCUAGCCAUGGGCAGGUUGAAGGUUGGGUAACACUAACUGGAGGACCGAACCGACUAAUGUUGAAAAAUUAGCGGAUGACUUGUGGCUGGGGGUGAAAGGCCAAUCAAACCGGGAGAUAGCUGGUUCUCCCCGAAAGCUAUUUAGGUAGCGCCUCGUGAAUUCAUCUUCGGGGGUAGAGCACUGUUUCGGCUAGGGGGUCAUCCCGACUUACCAACCCGAUGCAAACUACGAAUACCGAAGAAUGUUAUCACGGGAGACACACGGCGGGUGCUAACGUCCGUCGUGAAGAGGGAAACAACCCAGACCGCCAGCUAAGGUCCCAAAGUCAUGGUUAAGUGGGAAACGAUGUGGGAAGGCACAGACAGCCAGGAUGUUGGCUUAGAAGCAGCCAUCAUUUAAAGAAAGCGUAAUAGCUCACUGGUCGAGUCGGCCUGCGCGGAAGAUGUAACGGGGCUAAACCAUGCACCGAAGCUGCGGCAGCGACACUAUGUGUUGUUGGGUAGGGGAGCGUUCUGUAAGCCUGCGAAGGUGUGCUGUGAGGCAUGCUGGAGGUAUCAGAAGUGCGAAUGCUGACAUAAGUAACGAUAAAGCGGGUGAAAAGCCCGCUCGCCGGAAGACCAAGGGUUCCUGUCCAACGUUAAUCGGGGCAGGGUGAGUCGACCCCUAAGGCGAGGCCGAAAGGCGUAGUCGAUGGGAAACAGGUUAAUAUUCCUGUACUUGGUGUUACUGCGAAGGGGGGACGGAGAAGGCUAUGUUAGCCGGGCGACGGUUGUCCCGGUUUAAGCAUGUAGGCUGGUUGUCCAGGCAAAUCCGGAUAAUCAAGGCUGAGGUGUGAUGACGAGGCACUACGGUGCUGAAGUAACAAAUGCCCUGCUUCCAGGAAAAGCCUCUAAGCAUCAGGUAACAUCAAAUCGUACCCCAAACCGACACAGGUGGUCAGGUAGAGAAUACCAAGGCGCUUGAGAGAACUCGGGUGAAGGAACUAGGCAAAAUGGUGCCGUAACUUCGGGAGAAGGCACGCUGGUGUGUAGGUGAAGCCCCUGCGGGUGGAGCUGAGACCAGUCGAAGAUACCAGCUGGCUGCAACUGUUUAUUAAAAACACAGCACUGUGCAAACACGAAAGUGGACGUAUACGGUGUGACGCCUGCCCGGUGCCGGAAGGUUAAUUGAUGGGGUUAUCCGUAAGGAGAAGCUCUUGAUCGAAGCCCCGGUAAACGGCGGCCGUAACUAUAACGGUCCUAAGGUAGCGAAAUUCCUUGUCGGGUAAGUUCCGACCUGCACGAAUGGCGUAAUGAUGGCCAGGCUGUCUCCACCCGAGACUCAGUGAAAUUGAACUCGCUGUGAAGAUGCAGUGUACCCGCGGCAAGACGGAAAGACCCCGUGAACCUUUACUAUAGCUUGACACUGAACAUUGAGCCUUGAUGUGUAGGAUAGGUGGGAGGCUUUGAAGCGUGGACGCCAGUCUGCGUGGAGCCAACCUUGAAAUACCACCCUUUAAUGUUUGAUGUUCUAACGUUGGCCCCUUACCGGGGUUGCGGACAGUGUCUGGUGGGUAGUUUGACUGGGGCGGUCUCCUCCCAAAGCGUAACGGAGGAGCACGAAGGUUAGCUAAUCCUGGUCGGACAUCAGGAGGUUAGUGCAAUGGCAUAAGCUAGCUUGACUGCGAGCGUGACGGCGCGAGCAGGUGCGAAAGCAGGUCAUAGUGAUCCGGUGGUUCUGAAUGGAAGGGCCAUCGCUCAACGGAUAAAAGGUACUCCGGGGAUAACAGGCUGAUACCGCCCAAGAGUUCAUAUCGACGGCGGUGUUUGGCACCUCGAUGUCGGCUCAUCACAUCCUGGGGCUGAAGUAGGUCCCAAGGGUAUGGCUGUUCGCCAUUUAAAGUGGUACGCGAGCUGGGUUUAGAACGUCGUGAGACAGUUCGGUCCCUAUCUGCCGUGGGCGCUGGAGAAUUGAGGGGGGCUGCUCCUAGUACGAGAGGACCGGAGUGGACGCAUCACUGGUGUUCGGGUUGUCAUGCCAAUGGCACUGCCCGGUAGCUAAAUGCGGAAGAGAUAAGUGCUGAAAGCAUCUAAGCACGAAACUUGCCCCGAGAUGAGUUCUCCCUGAGACUUUAAGUCUCCUGAAGGAACGUUAAAGACGAUGACGUUGAUAGGCCGGGUGUGUAAGCGCAGCGAUGCGUUGAGCUAACCGGUACUAAUGAACCGUGAGGCUUAACCUU
rnacentral:rRNA from 1 species